rnacentral:rRNA from 1 species
CUGGGCUUGAACUGUGGUGGCCUGGUCUGGAAACAGGUCUUCUCCUUCGGGAGCCGCCACAGAGGUGCUGCAUGGCUGUCGUCAGCUCGUGUGGUGACAUGUUGGGUUAAGUCCCGCAACGAGCGCAACCCUUGUCCUUAGUUGCCAGCAUUCAGUUGGGCUCUCUAAGGAGACUGCCGUGGUUAACACGGAGGAAGGUGGGGAUGACGUCAAGUCCUCAUGGCCCUUACGGCCUGGGCCACACACGUGCUACAAUGGACGGUACAAAGCGUCGCCAACCCGCGAGGGGGAGCCAAUCGCAAAAAACCGUUCUCAGUUCGGAUUGCAGGCUGCAACUCGCCUGCAUGAAGCUGGAAUCGCUAGUAAUGCUAUAUCAGGACGAUAGCGUGAAUACGUUCCC